UCUAAAAAAAAAAAAGAAAAAAAAAACUUACGGGAAUUAUCAUUCACUCUCCUUCUAUACUUCCAAUAGACACACCUACACCACCGCCAUUCACAUACUGAGGAGGAUGACAGCCCCUCUCGCCGGCAACCACCGCACAAACACCUCUGCAACGUUUCUCUCUCUGUCUAACUCCAUCUUCAGCUGUUCAAACACGCACGUCGGCCUCGUUCUAUCUCUCUGCGCUGCUGCUGUCCGUCAAUUUCUAGCGCCCCCAUUCGCCGGAUUCCGAUAACUGUAUGAUAGUCUUGUCUAUCCUAUAGGAGCGCUGCAUUUCUGUGAUCUCUCGUCUUCUGGAUAACCGAAGCGAGGAUCGUUUAUCUGAUCUGAUCUGUCUGAUUAUCUGUCUUCAAGUGGCAUGCCAUAGGACAACAUCGCUGCAUUAUCUGUGAUUACUCGUCUUCUGGAUAACCGAAGCGAGGAUCAUCUCUGUCUCUGAUCUCUUUGAUCUCUGUCUCUGAUGUGAUCUCUGAUCUCAGUCUCUGUCUGCACCCUAAAUGGGUGGUCUGUACGGAGUCCUCUCGAGGAAAAAUUCCGCUCUGCAUCUGAUUCUGUUUCUGAUCUGGUCCGCGUACCCUAGUAUGUCACUAAGCACUUAAAGGGCUAUAUUUGUUCGUAUAUGUGAGAAUAUCAAUGAUCUGAUAUCUGUACAUGUGUUCAUAUUUUAAUAAGGUUGUAACGUAUUCUUUGAGUUCAAUUGAAUAAUUGGCGUGUUUAUCUGGAACAGCUAGCUUAUUUCUAUUUUGAAUUAUGUGUUAUAUAUUUUAUGAAUGGAUAUGUGAUUACUUAUUAUGUGUUAAAUUUAUUGAGAUUAAUGGUGACUAUGUGAGUGUGGAAUUGAAAUGGUUAAUGGUGUUGGUAAAGAAUAAAUCCGUAUAAAUCUGGUAAGUAAGUAUACAUGGGUUAGAACUAUGUGAGUGAUGACCUGUAUAAUAUAACUGUACAUUUCUGGACAUUUUAAUGAAGUGAUAUAUGAUUAUGACUUCGGUAAGUCCCAGGAAAGCAAGAGAGGAUGAUAUAAAGGUCAAAUGUAUUGUUGCUGGUUUUUUUUAAAAAUUAGAGAGUCAGAAGUCAAGUCACUAGUCAACACUUUUCCAUUUGGGUGAUUCUUUUGAAUACGCUAGACGUGGCAUGUCUAUAAAGAGUAAUGUUUCUUUUACUUCUGAAACUUUUGUUAGACAUGCAUAUUUGUAAAUAGUUAUGAGUUAUCCAGGUGGUUUAAUGUAUACUCCCUUCGUCCCGCUUUAGUAGUCCCGGUUGAAUAACUUUGGGCGUCCCGCUUUAGGAGUCCCGGUUGAGAUAAAUUAAUAAAAAAUGCCUACAAAGUGUUAAAAGUGUUAAAAGUGGGUUCCAACAUCCACUACAACUAAUAAAAAAGUGUUAAAAGUGGGUCCCAACAUCCACUACAACAUUUAUUUAUUGGACACUCAAUAAAAAGUGUGUCCCAACAUCCACUACAAUAUUUAUUUAUUACACACUCAACACUUUUUUCUUAAAACAUGUGCCCGACUCAACCGGGACUCCUAAAGCGGGACGGAGGGAGAAUAUGUUUGUACAUACAGAUUUUGGGAAUUAGGUUUGUGGUCUAAUUCUAGAUAUUAUAUAGCAGGUUUUUGGUUUUGCUAAAUAAAAGGAAUUAAGGUGUCUAUAUCUAAAAAGGGGAUUUUUCUCUGAUAAUUCAGGAUUUGCACCAAAUGUGACCUCAUUUAUUUGAUUAUUAAAAUAAUCGGGUAAUGGGUGUUACAAACUAUGGAUGCAACAAAGCAUCCAUUUAUUGUUGUCUUUAAACAAAAUACUAAAAUUGUCAAAUGACUAUUUUUGUAAACUACUGGUAAAACUUUCGCAUAUAAUUGUUGUCCAUGAAGCAAAAGAAACAGUUCAAAAUACUAGAUCAAAAUUAAGAAUGGUUGCUUAGAGCACCAACGUUUCCACGUCAACGACUAAGCGGGAUGACACCUCGUCAGUAUGACGUGGUAAAGCCAACGUGGUUGACACGUGAUGAAGUCCACGUCGUGAACGAACAUUGAUGCGCAGCGUGUCCCAAUACGUCCGUCCAGGAUCAGCCUCUCUAGCUCUCGUAACGGUUUGUAACGCAUGUAAUGCUCGACAGUUACAGUCUCGCAAUGAUGACAACCAUCAUGGUUGGUUGACCUUUGUUGUGGACUGAGCCUAUAAAUAAGCUAGUCAUUCCAUGCAUCUCUACACCAGUCAUAAGCAUUCUGCAUCAUAAGCUAUGCCCUCUCCUCCAUCCAGUUUGCCAUAGCUCUGCUGAUAGAGAUGAUCACCAGAGACGUAGUCGUUUUAUCUUUAAGGACGAAACGCCAAUCCGAGAGCACUAACGGGGCAUAUCUCGUCUUGCAGAAAGAGGACUGCUCGACUCGGCUAAUACUAUUUACGGUUUAUUGUUUCUUUUCCGUUGUAAUUUCGUUUCAUUUUCUCCAUUCUGUAUUCCUUCUUUUGGGUUGUAUUACGCCUGGUUUUAACUCUUGUAAUCAAGAAACCAACAGUAAUAAUGUAGUGAAGGUUUUAGUGUAUUACUA